CCUACGGGAGGCAGCAGUGAGGAAUAUUGGUCAAUGGCCGCGAGCCUGAACCAGCCAAGUCGCGUGAAGGAUGACUGCCCUACGGGUUGUAAACUUCUUUUAUCAAGGAAUAAAGUGAGGCACGUGUGCCUUUUUGUAUGUACUUUAUGAAUAAGGAUCGGCUAACUCCGUGCCAGCAGCCGCGGUAAUACGGAGGAUCCGAGCGUUAUCCGGAUUUAUUGGGGUUAAAGGGGGCGUAGAUGGGUUGUUAAGUCAGGUGUGAAAGUUUGCGGCUCAACCGUAAAAUUGCAUUUGAUACUGGCAGUCUUGAGAAGAGUUGAGGUAGGCGGAAUGCGUGGUGUAGCGGUGAAAUGCUUAGAUAUCACGAAGAACUCCGAUUGCGAAGGCAGCUUACU
rnacentral:rRNA from 1 species